AGAUUGAACGCUGGCGGCAGGCCUAACACAUGCAAGUCGAACGGCAGCGCGGACUUCGGUCUGGCGGCGAGUGGCGAACGGGUGAGUAAUAUAUCGGAACGUGCCCAGUAGCGGGGGAUAACUACGCGAAAGCGUGGCUAAUACCGCAUACGCCCUACGGGGGAAAGGGGGGGGAUUCUUCGGAACCUCUCACUAUUGGAGCGGCCGAUAUCAGAUUAGCUAGUUGGUGAGGUAAAGGCUCACCAAGGCGACGAUCUGUAGCUGGUUUGAGAGGACGACCAGCCACACUGGGACUGAGACACGGCCCAGACUCCUACGGGAGGCAGCAGUGGGAAUUUGGACAAGUGGGGAAACCUGAUCCAGCCAUCCCGCGUGUGCGAUGAAGGCCUUCGGGUUGUAAAGCACUUUGGCGAGGAAGAAACGGCGUCCCUAAGUACGGGCGUCACGUCGACGGUACCUGCAGAAUAAGCACCGGCUAACUACGUGCCAGCAGCCGC
rnacentral:rRNA from 1 species